rnacentral:rRNA from 1 species
ACGGGGGGAGCAAGCGUUGUUCGGAUUUACUGGGCGUAAAGGGCGGGUAGGCGGCCACCGCAAGUCAGUUGUGAAAUCUCUGGGCUUAACCCAGAAAGGUCAACUGAUACUGCGGGGCUAGAGUGCAGAAGGGGCAACUGGAAUUCUCGGUGUAGCGGUGAAAUGCGUAGAGAUCCGGAAGAACACCGGUGGCGAAGGCGGCCUGCUGGGACGUGGCUGACGCUGAGGCGCGACAGCGUGGGGAGCAAACAGGA